CCCGCCUCGGCCACCGGCUCCGGCUGGUGAGCGCCCGCCAGAGGACCCCAAACUCUGAAAUUUAGUGUCGUCUGAGUACUAUAUAAUAGUUAAAACUUUCAACAACGGAUCUCUUGGUUCUGGCAUCGAUGAAGAACGCAGCGAAAUGCGAUAAGUAAUGUGAAUUGCAGAAUUCAGUGAAUCAUCGAAUCUUUGAACGCACAUUGCGCCCCUUGGUAUUCCGGGGGGCAUGCCUGUUCGAGCGUCAUUACAACCCUCAAGCUCUGCUUGGUAUUGGGCGUCCCCGGCAACGGGGUGCCCUAAAAUCAGUGGCGGUGCCGUCUGGCUCUAAGCGUAGUAAAUCUCUCGCUCUGGACGCCCGGUGGAUGCUCGCCAGUAACCCCCAAUUUUUUACAGGUUGACCUCGGAUCAGGUAGGGAUACCCGCUGAACUUAAGCA
rnacentral:rRNA from 1 species